rnacentral:rRNA from 1 species
GAUGAACGCUGGCGGCGUGCCUAAUACAUGCAAGUCGAGCGAACGGACUAGAAGCUUGCUUCUCUGAUGUUAGCGGCGGACGGGUGAGUAACACGUGGAUAACCUACCUAUAAGACUGGGAUAACUUCGGGAAACCGUAGCUAAUACCGGAUAAUAUUUUGAACCGCAUGGUUCAAAAGUGAAAGACGGUCUUGCUGUCACUUAUAGACGGAUCCGCGCUGCAUUAGCUAGUUGGUAAGGUAACGGCCUACCAAGGCAACGAUGCAUGGCCGACCUGAGAGGGUGAUCAGCCACACUGGAACUGAGACACGGUCCAGACUCCUACGGGAGGCAGCAGUAGGGAAUCUUCCGCAAUGGGCGAAAGCCUGACGCAGCAACGCCGCGUGAGUGAUGAAGGUCUUCGGAUCGUAAAACUCUGUUAUUAGGGAAGAACAUAUGUGUAAGUAACUGUGCACAUCUUGACGGUACCUAAUCAGAAAGCCACGGCUAACUACGUG